CCAGGCAGUUACAGAUGUCGCUAUCAAUCGGUUACGCUCUCCCAUCUAUAAAAGAGACCCCCCAGAUACGUUCUCCUCUAAGCUCUAAGCACUAUCUCUAAACUCUGCUAAAAUCCCAUUCGAGUGCUCCAUUUCUGUUGAAGCAGAGUACUGACUUAAGCGUCGGAGGGUCUUGCCGAAGCACCCCCAACUCCGAUUUAGACUUUCCUUGCAGGUUCCGAUGGCAGCCG
rnacentral:lncRNA from 1 species